CAGGACGAAUGGCAGAACAGUAUCCAAAAUCUUUUAGGUCUGUUAUUGUUGUGUUGCUCCAUUUUCCAGUCAUGUAUAUGAGAACAAUAAUAUUUAUAAGCAUAUACAGAAUCCAGCUCAGGUGUAUGAAGGAUCCAAUGUACCUGGGAGCUUUCACUUUAAGUCCUGCCCAUCUAGAGUCCUUGGGGCUGAUGGUGAUGACCUAGAAGACACUCAGGAGACACAUGGUUACACACCCCUGCCCACCCUUAAAACAUAGAAAAGCAGUUUGCAUUUAAUAUUACCAAGGGAAAAUUUGAAAAUGAAAUCUGCCAUUGUGUGGGGAACUCCUUUACACAGGAGAGUUAACAAGUUGGCCACAAUCAAGUGCUGAAGAAUCAAGUCUGUGUGUCUUACCCUGCACCCAGUGAAGUAAAGGACCAGGUAAUGGAGGAGAAGAGAGGAAUUGCCCAGAGCUCCAACCACAGUCUGUGCCAGGAAGAUGAUGCCUACAGCCACAUCACUGCCUGCCAUCCUGCCAGUUCCCUGCUGUCCCAUCUAGAGGGUCCUGCAGAAAGAGGAAGCCUGGGCUGCACAUAUCCUUUCAACCAAAACCCAUAAUUGCCCACUCUCCUGAGGUUCCACUGUGAAAAUCUACUUAAAGUUUUUCAUUUACUAGGCUAUUUCUAAGUGAUUUCUAUACAUUUUUAAAACAUGAAUGAUGCACACUUUGCUGCUAUGUAGGGAACACAUGUGGUGAGACUUCAUGGAUCUUCAGAACCUAGGGUAGGUGCUGAGAUGACUUUCUAUAAUGACCAGGAACUUGAACCUUCAGCGGUUAAGUGUCUAUCCAAAUUCAAAUCCUGAUUAGGGACAUGGAAAGGUCUUGCAAUUGGCUGAGUGGAAACAGAGAUUUCAGUGAACCACCAUCCUAAAGGCUUUUCAUCUGUGUUCUUCAAACAAUCUAGUUCUAUAUUUACUUUUGUUUUUCAACAUUCCUAUUAUAUGCUAAAUUCAUAGUAUUUUAUAAUUUCUUAUUGUAAUAUGUUUUGAUGCUUAUAAUGACUAUAGAAUACUAUAGGCUGAUAUCUAUUAUUAUUAGGAAAUACUUAGAUAUUUUAAUAUCUGCAGAUGCACUGAGGGAACUAAAGCACUGCAGACAGCUGCCACGUGGUGAUUUACGUGCAAUAGGCAGAACUGACUCCAUAUCAGGGCAGCUAUCCCGUGACUCACAAGGCUGUGUGUUAGGAAUAAAGAGCAACAGCACCUAUCACAGGAAUUUGUGACAACCUCAUGCCAUGCCAAGCUUUAGGACACAAGGCACCAACAUCCGAUAAGAGAGUGUAGAGUAGAAACAAAGUGUUACUGAUUUCAGAUGAUACAUGCAUGGAUUAGUUAACACCUGAGUUAAGCAAAACUGUUAUCACAGAGCAAGAUUGGUGAGUGAUAUUACACUAUGCAAUGUGGCCUAGGUACAGACUGAAGCCUUGUGCUUUUAAAAAACUGC
rnacentral:lncRNA from 1 species